rnacentral:misc_RNA from 1 species
AGAAAACCUUCCACUCUUAUGGAAAGAUACCACUAUAAUUCUUAAGACUGAACAUUAUAAUUUAGGGUUUGCUACAAAUAAAGAGUUGGAAGCAAGUUUAUCCCAUUGAAAAUCUGAGGUUAAAGAAUAACAGGUCAAGGAUAAUAACAGCCUAUUAUCAACAUGGUACCAUCCCAUAAGCUACAAGUUGGGAAAAUAGAAGAGGAACUACCAAAGUUCUCAUUAACCAUAAAAUGGUGCUUUUCAAAAUAAAAAAUAACAUAGUCUUCAAUAAGGAAGAGAAGUGAAAAAUUUUCAAAUUUUGAAUUUUAAGAACAACGAGUUAAGACCAAAGUCAGCUGCUAUAAAGAUAGAAAAUUGAAAUGUGUAAA